rnacentral:rRNA from 1 species
UACGUAGGGGGGCUAGCGUUGUCCGGAAUCAUUGGGCGUAAAGAGCGUGUAGGCGGUCCGGUAAGUCCGCUGUGAAAGUCGGGGGGCUCAACCCUCGAAUGCCGGUGGAUACUGUCGGGCUAGAGUGCGGAAGAGGCGAGUGGAAUUCCCGGUGUAGCGGUGAAAUGCGCAGAUAUCAGGAGGAACACCGGUGGCGAAGGCGGGUCUCUGGGCAACUACUGACGCUGAGGAGCGAAAGCGUGGGGAGCGAACAGG